UACGAAGGGGGCUAGCGUUGCUCGGAAUCACUGGGCGUAAAGGGUGCGUAGGCGGGUCUUUAAGUCAGGGGUGAAAUCCUGGAGCCUCAACUCCAGAACUGCCUUUGAUACUGAGGAUCUUGAGUUCGGGAGAGGUGAGUGGAACUGCGAGUGUAGAGGUGAAAUUCGUAGAUAUUCGCAAGAACACCAGUGGCGAAGGCGGCUCACUGGCCCGGUACUGACGCUGAGGUGCGAAAGCGUGGGGAGCAAACAGGG
rnacentral:rRNA from 1 species